UGACUUUAAAAAAUUGGGCUUCAUCCCAAAAUCUUCCCCUGAAAUUGGUAUCCUUAGAACACCCUUUAGGUGUUUCUCUCGGCCACAACCGUCUUCAUCAUCAUCGUUCCCCUACUUUUGCUACUUUAAGCUCCUCUUCUUCUCAACCACCCUCAUCAAGAGCAGUAACUCCUCCUCCGCCUACUUCAGUAAGAUUUUGAAUUCUUACUGAGCAAGCCAAAAUGGGAGUUCACGGUCUAUGGGAACUAAUAAAAAACACAGUCUCUGCAUUUGCUUGAACUUUAGGGCAAUAAUCUGAUUCUUGCCCUCUUUUUUCUCUCCCAAAAGACCAAAUCACGCAACUGUCCCUUCAUCACUCUACCACCGCUGUAUUCAACCCUCCGUGAAUACAAAUGGAUCAUUAAAAAGUUCCAUCCGCUUAGUCUCAAUUCUAUGUUUUUCUCUCCCAAAUUUUCAUUCGCUUUCCCAUUUCUCACCGCUUAGUCUCAAUUUUUUGUUUUUCUCUCGUUUAUCCGGUCGGUGUAUUUUCCGGAAAUUUUCCCGAAAGAUUUCCCGACCGACGAUUAUUCUAUCUUUAUCUUUUCGUCAAAAUCUCGAAAAUCGAAACGCAAAUGGUGUUUUUUAAUUUCUCUUUAUUUUGGUAUUCUUUAGGUUUUGGAACAACUCAGUGGUCAAACCCCUAUCUUCUCCAAAGCUAGGUACACUGUGAGAUCUUUUGGAAUCAGGCGUAAUGAGAAUAUUGCUUGCUACGUGACAGUGAGGGGAGAGAAGGCUAUGCAGCUUCUUGAGAGCGGUUUGAAGGUCAAGGAAUAUGAGCUUUUGAGGAGGAACUUCAGUUUUUAUGUUACUCGUUUUGAGACUUAAUUUUAUUGAUUUUUUGCUGUUUUCUCUGGAACCUAACCAUUAUGUUUCUGUGGACUACCUGUUUUAUGCUUGGGCCUUGGUGCAUUGUCGAUGUGGUUUCAUUUUCUAUAACCUAGAGGUUUGAUGCUUUGAUGCAUAUGUGAAUGUAGCUGGAUGAAGUGUCUUUUUCAUGUUGAGCUCAUGUUAUCUGUUACUGAUUCUUGUUCUUGUGUGUGGUUUACUGAUGAAUUUGAUUUUGCUUCGAUAAGAAAGAGAUAUUGAAAAAUAUCUUUGUGGAGGUUAAGAACAAAUUCGAGACAGCAUUGGGAAUAUUUAGGAAGGAGAAAAUCACCAUUGACCCAGAUGACCCAGCUGCUGUCUCUCAUUAUGCAAAUGUUAUGAAGACUGUUAGAGAAAAAAAGAAAAUGUCUAGCCUAGAGAAAGAGCGUCAGGAUUUUCUAUCAACCAUUGAAGCACUUAAAGAAGGAUAAUUUGGAAACCCUGUUGCAAGAGAAGGACAUUUAGGCUGAUCUAGUCUGUUGCUUGCAGCAUUUGCAGUUAAGAUUUGAAACUGAAGACACAGCAAGGAGACUUCUAAGUAAUGUGUCAUUUUUGUUGAAACCAGGGGGUUAUUUUUUCGGUAUUACUCCUGAAAAAGUGAUUGCCAAAAACUGCUGUUUCUGGAUUUGUUAUUUUCCUUUUUUUUUUCUUGUGGUUACUGCUGCCCUUGUUUCUGGGAGGUGAUUGUGUAAACAUUUUAGUGUGCUUUAGUUAUUGUAAGAAUAUUUUGAAUUAUAAUUCAGUUAUCAAUUUAUAUCAUAUAUCUUUCAUUGAA